UCUCAUCAGCCCAGCAGGAUGUCUCUGCGGGAUCUAGUUAAUCUUAGCACAAUGUCUAGGUGGGACCACAGGGCUGAGACACUGGAUGCUUCCCUUUGAGAUAGAAUCAGGAUAGGAUACAGCCUUGGGCUUGGCUUACACAACUCUGUAACUCCCUCUCUUUGAGAAGACACCUUCCCCAAAGUCUCAGCUCACAGGUUUUAGCCAUUCCUGCACUUCUCAAAACAACCCUUAGAAGCUAGAGAGCAGCAAUAUUUCUCCCAUCUUUGAGAUGAAGAUCCACUGACUCAAAUAAGAUCACGUCAAUUAGUGACAGUCUGCCCUAACACCAACGUCUCCCAAUUCACAGUUAUCAAGCAUUUAUUAAGUACCUUCUGUCUACUGAAAGAAAACAUGACAGUGGCUAGAUAGAGAACUAACCUUGAGGUCAGCUGGAAGAUCUGGGUUCAAGUCUUGCCCCGGACACCUACGAGAAGAGUGAAAGAAAAGGCUUUCAGCAUAUUCUAAGUAUCAUGGGUGAAUAACCUGCUUUGACUUUUAUGAGCCUACAGCACCUUGGAGAAAAUCUCUUUGGUACUUAGCUCUAUGAACACCCCAAACUCGUACUCAUCGCUCAACUGUUGUAGACUACUUCGUCUGUCUCAGCCAAAAUCAAUUGAAGGUACAGCAUGAAGGUGAAAUGGAAAUCCAUCUGGCUUGAGGAAUUGAGUCAUGCAGUUACCCCAGUGCCCAAGAAAGGGUUCAUUCUUUGGAAAGACAUCUGGAAGAAGACAUGUGCAGAGAUAAAAGAAGAGGUAAUUAUGAAAUAUAAUGAU
rnacentral:lncRNA from 1 species